UGGGAGGUGUGGAGGAUGCUUCUCCAUUGGUCAGCCAUUUUUUGAGUGUCAGUUUGGCUACAACCAAUAGUGUUCUUCCGUUCAACUUUUACAUAGCUAGUAGUUCAGUGACGCAAACUAGUCACCUUUCUGCGAAAUUCGCGGUUUUGGUAUUCGUCUCCUUGCCGUUCCUCAAGUUAUAACGCGUUAACGUUAGUUGCUUACUGGACCCUGUGUGAAACAUUAACUAGCUAACCACGAUCUGUUAACUAAUGUUUUCCCUGUACAGUAUGUGGUUAAUUUUCAGAAUGAGAGAAUUUAGGUGAAACUGAGGCGUUGUUUGUUAAACAAGUGGAUUUAGGGAUCACGUGGAGCAGGAGCUGGGCCUGGCUUAAACUGGAUGCCACUAUAGAGGUUGUAGUCCAGCUGCCUGAGGAAGUGUCCCAGAGGUAACAGGAAGUAGCUGAGGUUAAAGCAUAAGAGGCUGAGAUUGAAGAUCAUCCAGGCGGUGUUCUCUUCUCCUGGAGCCAAACACCCCCAGACUGCCCCCUGAAGGACAGCUUAUUACAUGUUUUUGAAUGUUGAGCUUUAACCAAGCAUGUACUUUGAGGGAUUUGGGGCCAUUUUGAUGUAGACAUGCAUGUCAUCCGCAAAACUGUGGAAAAGGACCCCAAGUCACCUGACUACAUGACCAAGUGGAAGUAGGCAGAGGAUGAACAGGGUGGGGGACACCACAGGUGACUGAGUGGACCUGCACUCUUCUACAAUACUUAUUCUGCAUUUUAAUGUGAGAUAGAGUGGAAGCCAUUCAGGAUAGUUCCUGAAAUAUUGUCUUUACACCCUUCUGUGAUCCAUACAGUCUAUAGUGAAGUUGUAUCUGUUUGUUGAUGUCCUCGUCUACUUCUAUGAGCCUGAUCCUGAUGUUCUUGUAGUGUAAAGUUAUCCAUUUAA